AGAGUUUGAUUCUGGCUCAGAACGAACGCUGGCGGCGUGGAUAAGACAUGCAAGUCGAACGAGAGAAUUGCUAGCUUGCUAAUAAUUCUCUAGUGGCGCACGGGUGAGUAACACGUGAGUAACCUGCCCCCGAGAGCGGGAUAGCCCUGGGAAACUGGGAUUAAUACCGCAUAGUAUCGAAAGAUUAAAGCAGCAAUGCGCUUGGGGAUGGGCUCGCGGCCUAUUAGUUAGUUGGUGAGGUAACGGCUCACCAAGGCGAUGACGGGUAGCCGGUCUGAGAGGAUGUCCGGCCACACUGGAACUGAGACACGGUCCAGACACCUACGGGUGGCAGCAGUCGAGAAUCAUUCACAAUGGGGGAAACCCUGAUGGUGUGACGCCGCGUGGGGGAAUGAAGGUCUUCGGAUUGUAAACCCCUGUCAUGUGGGAGCAAAUUAAAAAGAUAGUACCACAAGAGGAAGAGACGGCUAACUCUGUGCCAGCAGCCGCGGUAAUACAGAGGUCUCAAGCGUUGUUCGGAAUCACUGGGCGUAAAGCGUGCGUAGGCUGUUUCGUAAGUCGUGUGUGAAAGGCGCGGGCUCAACCCGCGGACGGCACAUGAUACUGCGAGACUAGAGUAAUGGAGGGGGAACCGGAAUUCUCGGUGUAGCAGUGAAAUGCGUAGAUAUCGAGAGGAACACUCGUGGCGAAGGCGGGUUCCUGGACAUUAACUGACGCUGAGGCACGAAGGCCAGGGGAGCGAAAGGGAUUAGAUACCCCUGUAGUCCUGGCAGUAAACGGUGCACGCUUGGUGUGCGGGGAAUCGACCCCCUGCGUGCCGGAGCUAACGCGUUAAGCGUGCCGCCUGGGGAGUACGGUCGCAAGAUUAAAACUCAAAGAAAUUGACGGGGACCCGCACAAGCGGUGGAGCAUGUGGUUUAAUUCGAUGCAACGCGAAGAACCUUACCUGGGCUUGACAUGUAAUGAACAACAUGUGAAAGCAUGCGACUCUUCGGAGGCGUUACACAGGUGCUGCAUGGCCGUCGUCAGCUCGUGUCGUGAGAUGUUUGGUUAAGUCCAGCAACGAGCGCAACCCCUGUUGCCAGUUACCAGCACGUGAAGGUGGGGACUCUGGCGAGACUGCCCAGAUCAACUGGGAGGAAGGUGGGGACGACGUCAGGUCAGUAUGGCCCUUAUGCCCAGGGCUGCACACGUACUACAAUGCCCAGUACAGAGGGGGCCGAAGCCGCGAGGCGGAGGAAAUCCUGAAAACUGGGCCCAGUUCGGACUGUAGGCUGCAACCCGCCUACACGAAGCCGGAAUCGCUAGUAAUGGCGCAUCAGCUACGGCGCCGUGAAUACGUUCCCGGGUCUUGUACACACCGCCCGUCA
rnacentral:rRNA from 1 species